UCCUGCAAUUGAAGGCACCGUGUCACAUCCACAUGCCGAAGCAUGUCAAAGCUUCUCUUUCUUAACCUUGCUGGGUUAUGGAGACCAUCAGGAGCUUGUGUUUUUGCUUUUUGUAGCAGCAUAUUUGUUGAAGAUGAAAAUUCGGCAUCCAUCAAAUCCUGAAGAGAUAAAGCUUGAGUACAGCUUAAUAGUUUGUGGCUGGGGGGGAAACGA
rnacentral:misc_RNA from 1 species